rnacentral:rRNA from 1 species
GUAGAGUGCAUUCGGCUGAAAGGCUGAUUUCCUUCGGGACUCUCUGCAAGGUGCUGCAUGGUUGUCGUCAGCUCGUGCCGUGAGGUGUCGGGUUAAGUCCCAUAACGAGCGCAACCCUUAUCGUUAGUUGCCAGCGGGUAAUGCCGGGAACUCUAACGAAACUGCCGGUGUAAACCGAGAGGAAGGUGGGGAUGACGUCAAAUCAGCACGGCCCUUAUGUCCAGGGCUACACACGUGUUACAAUGGCCGGUACAGAGGGCAGCUAUGCCGCGAGGCAAUGCGAAUCUCGAAAGCCGGUCUCAGUUCGGAUCGGAGUCUGCAACUCGACUCCGUGAAGCUGGAUUCGCUAGUAAUCGCGCAUCAGCCAUGGCGCGGUGAAUACGUUCCCGGGCCUUGUACACACCGCCCGU